CUCGACCACGGAACUUUGCAACGGCUUCGCGACACGAAGCGCUAUACCUCGAAAGCGUAAGUGCCUAAUGUACCAUCGAUGUCCCUACGAUUCUUUCGCCGAAUAUUCGGAAGAAUGCAUACGCGGCAACGUCGCGGACGUCUAAUAAACGCGUACGUAGUGGGGAUAUGCAGGGGCAACAAAGGAAAGAAUCCGUUUGGUUUCGAACCAAAGAUUCAUUCUGCCCCGAGCUGCGAAGUGCGAAAGGUUAGUAAUUAAUUGCUGUUGAUGGUUAAUUUUUAAUUGUCUCUGUUAAUUGUUAAUAGUUUAAUGAACCUUUUUGUUGAACAUCAAGAGUAUUUCUCAUGGGCACGGUCGCCAACAACCGCCUCGCAUAUCUCAAUAGAUACAUAUACGUCUCUUUGCAAUAUUUUCCAACCAUCCAACGUGUAGACAUUUCAGAACAAAACACAGGAUUUCGACCAGCGUUAUUUGUACGUAUCUGCAAGACGAAUACUUUCACGUAACGCGCAGAGGAACAGCGUGACGAGGAAAAUCGAGGAAGUUUCAUGGCCUGCGCAUCGGUGUCGAGGGUUGCAAGCAGACGCACAGCAUCGUCUGGUGAUAGAGCGGAGGGUUAAAAGGAGGUGAAAGGACGGGAGAAGGAUGGCGCGAUAACGGGCAGCCAUAGCGAAGGUGAAGGCAAUAGCGCGAAAGGCGGCAGAGAUUGAUUAUGUUAAUCGCCAUGGAUGCAAAUUAGACGGCCAGGGGAAGAUGUACGUAACUCUGAACCUCGAGACAUCUUCCUCCUUUCAACUUCCGCCAUCGCCCUCAUCAUCGUCGCCUACCGUAACAACGUUCCCCUUUUUUCAAGGACGAACAACAGGAAAAACCGUAAUGUAUUUCCAACACCUUCCUCGAGGGUUAAUUAACAAUCGUUAGGGAAAAGAAGUCGGGCC